AGGGCUCCUUCUCCCCUCCUGCUGUAGGGGCAGUCUCAGUUAGAAGCUGGGGCUUUGUAGUUGAGUGUCACCUCCUCCCGCCAGGCGCUCUGCCAGGCUCUUGCCCCUAGUCACUCCCUUUCUGACAUCAUGUGCUCUCUGUACUUGGAACACAGGGUGUGGUGGGCACGCGUUUGUUCUUUGUUCUAUGCAACUCUAAAGAGCUGAGUUGACUUCAGAGUAGAAAAGCUGAGCUCAGCAACACACAUUCAGACGCUCCUUGCCUCUUUGGCUUCUCAGAUUAUGCUCCCCCAGUGCCGGGGAUACAAAUAUGUCUUGCCCAAACUUUUCUUGCUUUUUUUUUUUUUUCUAAGUUAAGCAAAGAGAUUAUGUUCCUCAUUCAUGGAGGUUACUCAAAGCCCUGGCUGGAAACAGUACAUAGUGAGACAGAACACGAGAGGAGGAGGGGCAGAGAGAGAAGGAGACAGAGACUCCAGGCUCCGAGCAAGCGUUCAUCACAGAGCCCAAUGGGGGGCUCAAACCCAUCAUGACCUGAACUGAAGCUGGACUCCUAACCGACUGAACCACCCAGGUUCAGCAAGUAUUAGACUGUCAGAUUAGCUCCCAAGGAAGCUGGAUAGCUGGAAAGGAAGCCACAACUCUCAGCCUCCCAAAUGGGGAAGAGGAGCUGUGGGGUGUAGGACUGGCUUCCUAUUUCCACUGAGCCACAGCAAUGAAACUCGGAGCCUGGGGAGUCUUUUUCCAAGCGAGUGAGGGCUGAAGGACGGGAGGAGCCACAGCCCCUGGUCCCACAACUGAACAGAAACCCCACCACUGGCAAGGCAACCAGGAGCCAGUGGUUUUCUCUCCUUGGGGUUGGGCAGAGAAGCCUAAGAAGCCACCAAAGGCCAGAGAGGAGGAGCCCCACCUCUGUGUUUUCUGAGCAGUUCUGCUUUUAUCUCUCUUAGUUAUCGCUGUUCCAUUUUAAGCUUCAUUUGAAUAAAGAGUUUUGCUGCUAUGUACGUAUACUCAUACACACUCACAC